ensembl:lncRNA
CUGGAAUACCAACACUUUAGAAUGCAGAAGUACUUUACACACAGGCCCAGGCUUGUGUCCAAUAUGGCCCCUUAUUCACUAUAUAGUGCACUACUUUACACACAGGCCCAGGCUUGUGUCCAAUAUGGCCCCUUAUUCACUAUAUAGUGCACUACUUUACACACAGGGCCAGGCUUGUGUCCAAUAUGGCCCCUUAUUCACUAUAUAGUGCACUACUUUACACACAGGGCCAGGCUUGUGUCCAAUAUGGCCCCUUAUUCACUAUAUAGUGCACUACUUUACACACAGGCCCAGGCUUGUGUCCAAUAUGGCCCCUUAUUCACUAUAUAGUGCACUACUUCACACACAGGCCCAGGCUUGUGCCCAACCAAACUCACAUAGAGGCUGUAUCCAAUAUGGCCCCUUAUUCACCAUGUAGUGCACUACUUUAGACCAGAGCCCUAUUCCCUAUAUAGGGCACUACUUUAGACCAGAGCCCUAUUCCAUAUAUAGUGCACUACUUUAGACCAGAGCCCUAUUCCCUAUAUAGUGCACUACUUUAGACCAGAGCCUUAUUCCAUAUAUAGUGCACUACUUUAGACCAGAGCCCUAUUCCCUAGAUAGUGCACUACCUUUAACUACAGCAUUAUUCCAUAUAUAGUGCACUACUUUAGACCAGAGCCCUAUUCCCUAUAUAGUGCACAACAUUAUACUACAGCCCUAUUCCCUAUAUAGUGCACUACUUUAUACUACAGCCCUAUUCCCUAUAUAGUGCACUACUUUUAACCAGAGCCCUGAAUAGACCAGACACCUAAUCAUCUAUAUACAUCUUAAUCUAGCAUUGUGUUUCUCCUAUUAAUCACCCUGUGAAUGACUCUCUAUGGGUCCAGGUUAACACACUAUAAAGGGGAACAGAAUGACUCUCUAUGGGUCCAGGUUAACACACUAUAAAGGGGAACAGAAUGACUCUCUAUGGGUCCAGGUUAACACUCUAUAAAGGGGAACAGAAUGACUCUCUAUGGGUCCAGGUUAACACUCUAUAAAGGGAACAGAAUGACUCUCUAUGGGUCCAGGUUAACACACUAUAAAGGGGAACAGAAUGACUCUCUAUGGGUCCAGGUUAACACUCUAUAAAGGGGAAUAGAAUUACUCUCUAUGGGUCCAGGUUAACACACUAUAAAGGGAACAGAAUGACUCUAUGGGUCCAGGUUAACACUCUAUAAAGGGAACAGAAUGACUCUAUGGGUCCAGGUUAACACUCUAUAAGGGGAACAGAAUGACUCUCUAUGGGUCCAGGUUAACACAUUAUAAAGUGAAUAAGAGUCCAUUUGGAACACAGCUACAGUAGUAAUAACAAAGGUAUUUUUUGAUCAAAAUCCCUGUAAAUAUCUGCGGUAUCCUUGCCAACCCAUUUCAAUCUGCAGGUUGGUUUUUUUCUUUUCAAAAUCACAACGUGACAGUAAACCAGUCUUUAAAGAAAAAAGAGAUCUGAAACCAUGCAACACUCAACAAGCCCACGUUACAGUUACUUCUGGGUUCGCCACCGUUUUGAAUGGCAUCAUCAAUAUCAUCAUCAUCAUCAUCAUCAUCAUCAUCAUCAAUAUCAUCAUCAUCAUCAUCAAUAUCAUGAUCAUCGUCAUCAAUAUCAUGAUCAUCAUCAUCAAUAUCAUCAUCAUCAAUAUCAUGAUCAUCAUCAUCAAUAUUAUCAUCAUCAAUAUCAUGAUCAUCAUCAAUAUCAUCAUCAUCAUCAUCAAUAUCAUGAUCAUUAUCAAUAUCAUGAUCAUCAUCAACAAUAUCAUGAUCAUCAUCAAUAUCAUCAUCAUCAAUAUCAUGAUCAUCAUCAAUAUCAUGAUCAUCAUCAUCAUCAUCAAUAUCAUCAUCAUCAUCAUCAAUAUCAUCAUCAUCAAUAUCAUGAUCAUCAUCAAUAUCAUGAUCAUCAUCAUCAUCAUCAAUAUCAUCAUCAUCAUCAUCAAUAUCAUCAUCAUCAACACUUACAACACCAUAAGACUUCACACAACAGUGACAAGGACGUUUUGACGUUUUUUUUUUUGGGGGAGACAGAAUCGAUCAAAUCUCGAAGACCUCAUCCACUGAGUUUCCAUGACAGGACAAAACGGGUCACGUCGUAGAUAGAACGGGGUUCUCUUCUGUUUCAUUAGUUCGUUACCCGAGUCCAUCGCUGCCUUUAGGCCUCAUGCUUGGUGUUAAAGGGGGACAGUGACCCCGAGCAACAGAUAUACACUACACUUCAGCAAACUAACCACUGGCACCAAACACUAACCUGCUGCUCCCAGAUCAGUGUCUAACCUCCGUGUUGGCACCAAACACUAACCUGCAGCUCCCAGAUCAGUGUCUAACCUCCGUGUUGGCACCAAACACUAACCUGCUGCUCCCAGAUCAGUGUCUAACCUCCGUGUUGGCACCAAACACUAACCUGCAGCUCCCAGAUCAGUGUCUAACCUGCUGCUCCCAGAUCAGUGUCUAACCUGCUGCUCCCAGAUCAGUGUCUAACCUGCUGCUCCCAGAUCAGUGUCUAACCUGCUGCUCCCAGAUCAGUGUCUAACCUGCUGCUCCCAGAUCAGUGUCUAACCUCC